rnacentral:tRNA from 1 species
CGGAACGUAGCGCAGCCUGGUAGCGCACUAUUCUGGGGGGAUAGGGGUCGUGGGUUCGAAUCCCGCCGUUCCGACCA